GCUGGACACCUAACCAACCGAGCCACCCAGGCGCCCCAGCCCUCCCCUGUUUUAUGGUUGGGGAUUUCACUGCCUCCAAGCUUCAUGAAAGAUGGUAUUUAUGUUUAUGUCUCAUACUCUUCCUUACUCAGGUGGAAUUAAAUGAAUGAUAUCAAGAGCACGCUCUAAAGUUGCACAAACAAGUUGUGUCUUUCCACAGUGACAACUUUAUGCAGUCCUGAAGCAAGGUAAUGUAAUUGUCAAGCAGGUUCAGGAUUCCAAACUCAGUGACAUCGCACCAUGUAAUUAACUCAGCUUCUUAUACAGCACGAAAAGCAGAACAUAAGACAAGUCACGCGACAAACAAGAUAACGGAGGGGCUAACAGACCAAACUUGAAGUCAGUCUGUGGGCGCACAAUGGAGAUAAGCCUCUGGCCGGUCUGGGUCAGCUCCCGGCUCUUACCGCCCAUCACGCUCCAGCGAGGAAGGAUCUCGGUUCUGUUCGGAGAUCCUUGGGCAGCCGCUGCUUUCUUUUUAAGUGGAAAAGAGAAUGCAUCAUCUUGAUGGCCUCCCAGUUAUAGUCUGAGUGUGAAGGAUAAGAGUGGAAUCUGAGCUGUGAAAUGAUGAUGUUUGAGUAGAUUCGCCUGAGAAGCUUGAACCUGGAAACACCUCAAACCUCCUUCUCUCAGAGGAGACUAUACCGCAACCUCUGCUGAGGCAGAAGCCCUGUAAGAUGCCACAUGUCCUACUGAAGAUUCACCCUUUCCACUCUUGAGUCUUUCAAAG